GGAAAAAAGUGAAAUCGGACAAGUAAUGUGGUUGGAUGUUGCAGCGCUUUCCGAAUUUGAGGAAGACCCUUCGAAUUCUUCAGCUGAUGCCAAUGUUAUGCAUGAAAUCGCACGAAAAUGUGAAGAAGAAAUCUCUCCAGAUCUUACAGAGGAUUCAGAAGAUGAAAACUCUCAGGGCAAGAAGGAAAUCGAAUUACAAGAGCUACGGAACUCUAUUCGGCAACUGAGGCGAAAAAAAAUUAAUCUAGAAAUGUCAAACAGAUCUUUGAGGAAAGCGAAUGAGAUGAUCGAAAUGAAAGUAGUGAAUUGCUUCGAGCAAGUUCAUAAUGAUUUUUUAAAAAUAAUAUGUACUACUGGAUGUACUUAUAACAGUUUUGAGAUUUCAAUUAAUUUAUAAAUACAUUAUUUUUAAAAUCGAUCAAAACGGUUUUAAAUACUGGACACAAAGAAUUAAAAAGAAGAUUUUUGUCCAGAGAAGAGUUAGCAGUAGGAAAAACAUGACGCAACUAACGAGAUACAUGCUGGUUAUGGAAUUUGGAUUGAUAGGGACAUUUACGAUGCUGCGAGAUAUCCACACAAAGUUAAUGCCAAAAAAUUAAUAAAAG